CAACAGGGAUUGCCCCAGUAACGGCGAGUGAAGCGGCAACAGCUCAAAUUUGAAAUCUGGCUCUCGGGCCCGAGUUGUAAUUUGUAGAGGAUGCUUUUGGUGAGGUGCCUUCCGAGUUCCCUGGAACGGGACGCCAUAGAGGGUGAGAGCCCCGUCUGGUUGGACACCGAUCCUCUGUAAAGCUCCUUCGACGAGUCGAGUAGUUUGGGAAUGCUGCUCUAAAUGGGAGGUAUAUGUCUUCUAAAGCUAAAUACCGGCCAGAGACCGAUAGCGCACAAGUAGAGUGAUCGAAAGAUGAAAAGAACUUUGAAAAGAGAGUUAAACAGUACGUGAAAUUGUUGAAAGGGAAGCGCUUGUGACCAGACUUGGGCUUGGUUGAUCAUCCGGGGUUCUCCCCGGUGCACUCUUCCGGCUCAGGCCAGCAUCAGUUCGCCCUGGGGGACAAAGGCAUCGGGAAUGUGGCUCUCUCCGGGGAGUGUUA
rnacentral:misc_RNA from 1 species